rnacentral:lncRNA from 1 species
UGCUCUCUUCUUCGCUUUUGAGGUUGCCAAGUUUUGCUUUGGGCUCCUGGAAGAGAUAAAUCUUCUCGUUCAGCAUCUUGCAACGAGCCCUUCCCGUCGCCGCAAGCACGCGGAGGAAGAGGCAGCAGGGAAACUCUUCCGCUGCCCGGUCGUCCUCCGCAGGGGCCCCGUUUUAAAAUCUCUGCUCGGAGGCGAGAUGCGCAACGUGCAAGGGCUGCGCGAAGGGGCUGGCGUCCCGCAGUUCCCCACUCUGGGAGACUUUCCUCCUCCCGACAAGUUUUGCGGCAGGACAGCAACACGCAGCAAGUUCCAGGAGCUGGAAGCCGGAGAGGAACAAAGACGACCGGAAAUCUCAAAAGGGACAAAAACUCGGCUUGCGGCUGGGUCGAAGGUGCUGGAGGAAGGGGAGCGAGGUGCAGAGGGAGCAAAAUCCUUGCCAGGAAAGCAACCCCGGAGGGUCAAGCUCGUACCAGCGGCUCCUGGCCGCUUGCAGCAGUUUGAUGUCGAAGGUCAAAAAACCAGAGAGGAGCAUCCCAUGCUGCCCAAAAUCCCCAAGACGGUCACGUUUGUGCCCAGCCGGCGGCCAGGACGCUCGCUGGCAGGAAGAGAGAUUUGCCCCAUCCAGGGCAGGAGAGCGAAGACAAACGCACGGUUGGGCUUAAACCCGGUUUGCGCUCACUCAGAGUUUCCUCGGGAGGAAACACCGCCCGGCUCCCGGAGGCGUACAGCGGGGACACCAGGUUACAUCCUACCCACCACCACCUUGGAGCUCCGAACACAAAUAACCGCUCACCAACACCACCGACAGCCCCGGGGGAAAACAAAACAAAAAAAAAAACCCCAAGAAAACCCCCCAAAACCCACAGAUUUGCCUUAUUGCUUUAUUUAUCAGCCCGGCGGGCAAUUCCCGCGCACGAAGUGGGGUGGCCGCUGCGCCCUGGCCCAGCUCCAAAACCGGAUUCGUCACGGCCGGGCAGCUCGUGGCAGGACGGAGAGAGACCGCGCGGCGGCCAGAGACGUUUAGCGGGAAGCUACGACGAAGGCGGGACGCGGGCGCCGCGAUUAACGUUAUAGCUGAGGAAGAUCUCA